rnacentral:rRNA from 1 species
AGAACGAACGCUGGCGGCAUGCCUAACACAUGCAAGUCGAACGCUCACCGGGCUUCGGUUCGGUGGGAGUGGCGCACGGGUGAGUAGCGCGUGGGAACCUGCCCUGUUGUGGGGGAUAACCGAGGGAAACUUCGGCUAAUACCGCAUGCGCCCGGGGAAACCCGGGGAAAGAUUUAUCGCAGCAGGAGGGGCCCGCGUCGGAUUAGGUAGUUGGUAGGGUAACGGCCUACCAAGCCUUUGAUCCGUAGCUGGUCUGAGAGGAUGAUCAGCCACACUGGGACUGAGACACGGCCCAGACUCCUACGGGAGGCAGCAGUGGGGAAUAUUGGACAAUGGGCGCAAGCCUGAUCCAGCAAUGCCGCGUGAGUGAUGAAGGCCUUAGGGUUGUAAAGCUCUUUUGUGCGGGAAGAUAAGUGACGGUACCGACGAAGAAUAACGCCCCGGCUAACUUCGUGCCAGCAGCCGC